GCCUUUCGGAGCUGUGCGGCAUUCUGAGCAGGAAUGGCAGUGUGGACCUCUGUGAUGGGACAUCUUGUGGGAUCUCACAGCCAGUUCUGUGGCAAAGGAGGAUGAAGGCUUACGAGGACUCGUCAGGAAGCUGGAUAACAGAGCGAGCGCAAUGUGGAGUUUGAGGCUGGAUAGACAGUUUGAAAGGUACAAAUAAUGGUUUGAAUAAAGAAAGGUAUUAAUGGGUCACCUCAAGUGAAGGCACUGCAAACACAAUGAUUGGUCAUUCUGAAUUUCCGGUCCUUCAUUCUGAAUUUCAAAGGCUCCUGUGACAAGUGGACAUGCAGUGACUGCACCUUUGUUUCUGAGGUGCCUGGAUGGAGGCUCAAAUAGAAGAUGGUGUCAGAUAUAUUGUGUUAAAAUUUUACCAUUAAAGUGUAUUAUAACAUGAA
rnacentral:lncRNA from 1 species